ensembl:lncRNA
AUGUGGAGUGUUCGCCGUCUGCCCCCGGCCCGCCAACCAGACCCUGGCCCUGUGCCCCCGGCCGAGGCCCCUGCCUGGCACUCUGUGGGUGAAGCACCCCAUCCCACCACUCUGGCCCCGCGGCCUGCGCUGGCACCUGCCUCUGCAGGGCUGGCCACCUCAGGCUCCACCAGGCGCUGCGCUGUCCCGAAGGCCGCGUGUGGUUCUAGUGUGCAGGGUAGACGGACGGAGACUUCUCCAGGUGGGGACGCAGUGCAGGCCCCAGGCAGGCAGCCCAGCCCCGGCACUCACAGCCCUCAUGCGGCCCCUGGGCCUCAGGCUGCCCGUCUGGGGACGAGGAGCCCGGAGUCACUAGCAGGCCCCUGGGCCCCGGCCUGCCCUCUUUGCACCUCUAAACUCUGGGCAGCCACACCCUCUGCCCUCGCAGGUGGGCUCACAGCCCGGCCCUCGCUCUUCCUGCUGCCCCUCCAGGGUGCAGGCCUCGCGGGCUUGGGGGAUGUCAACCUGGGCAGCGCGGGGUGUCUGGUGCCUCCCUGGGUGCUUUGUGGGCUGGGCCUCCCUUGGGGCUGGCUGGUACUAGGAGCUGGGUCCCUGCCUUUCUGUCUGGUGUCCCCGGCGUCCUUCCUGCAGGGCCUCAGGGAGGGGGAGCGGGCAGAGCCCCCUGCCCGCCGGGCCGCCAGCUGCUCCGAGGAGGCUGCAUUUCCGGAAGGAGAGGGGCGGCUGUGGGCUUGUCUGGACCUGCGCUCCCGGGGUCGCCGGCACCUGUGGGGGAGGCCUGCUGCCGCGUCAAGACGGAGGCUCAGCUCAGCCCGCGGCCGCCGCGGACCCCUGACCCCAGAGCCCCGUCCCUCAUCUGCCCCAGUCCCCAGCACAGUGGAGACCAGGAGCCCGGGUCCCCCACCACCCAGACUUCCUCGGGGCAGGUCGUGGAAAAGCCAAAGCCCGGGUUUAAAUGCAGAGGGUGGUGGUCGUCGCCACUGGCCCCUGGAGAUGUGCUCCUUCGUUCAUUCCUGUCCCCGCAGACGCCCUCCGGGCUGCCCCAGGUAUCAGACAGGAGCUCAGGGACCUCACAAGGCCUCCCUGUUGCUGGGCUGUUGUCAGUGA